rnacentral:lncRNA from 1 species
AUACCGUCAUGUUUCCCUGGACCAGCUGAACAAACUCCAUCUCCUUCAGGUGUUGGAUGUGCUCAGGGAGAUACUCCGCAUGAAAGGCCGCUAAGAACUGCUCCCAGGUUGCUAGUGUAGGCAGGGUGGCCUGCUUGAGCUCCCACCAAUGACCUGCUUCCCCUACCAGCAUGUAGGAAGCAAAGGCAGCUCUCUGCUCGGGAACCACUCCCAAGGUCUUGAAAGCUCUCUUAGUCUCUGCCAACCAGUAUUGGACAUCUUCAAAAGAGGAUCCCCCUGCAAAAGUGGAAGGGUUCAGUCUCCUGUUCCUCUCUAUGUAGCCCGGGUCGAUCAAGGAAUGAGCUGGGUCCCAUGGAAGAGGGACUGGGCCCGGCUGGGGAUAAACUGAGGGCCCUGUGGUGGCACCUGCUGAUAUGAUGGGGGCACCUGAUUGUACUGUGACAGUGCCGGGCAGUACGGUGGCU